GUCGCCGGAAAUGCCGCGAAUCUCGUCGCCGACUUUCGUGAUGGCGCGCGCGCUGUACGCGCCUCUUGCCCAGUUGUUCCCGCCUUGAGUACGUUUGAGGUAGCCCUGUUUGCCGUCCGUCGUCAUGCCCUGCGAAAGUCCGACCCACUCGAUGAGAUCCAAGUCGUUCGCACCCUCGUGGACAGUCUGUAUCCAGGAGACUCGAGAGAAAGACGCGCCUGCAGUGUUGAAGCGCGCGGUGGCGUAGAGCGGGAAGGCAGGCGCCUCAUCAGACGUCGCAAACGCCGCGCCAUCCUUGUAGUACGUGACGACGCCCGAGUCGAGCACGACCACUUGGAACGUCUCACCGACGAAGUAAUCGCCAAAGUCGCCGUCGCGCACGACGCCGUGUUCGGAGAUGCGGAUCACGCCGUUGUCGCACACAAUGCCGAAGUCGACCACCUCGUCGACGGAGUUCGUCGAGCCAGAGUUCAAGCCAAUCAUCAUGGACUUGUCCGUUUGGUCGCAAUCCGCGGAGACGCCACGCACUUCGUCGCCGAUCUUCGUGAUGGCACGUUUGCUCGUGGCGCCGACGUUCCAGCCACUGCCUGCCAUUGUGCGCGUCACUUGGCCCGCGGAAGACUCGACGCCUUCCGCGUCUUCAAACUCCAUGGCCGCCAAGUCGUUCGCGCCCUUGACAACCUUGUGAACCCAGCGCGCGUUGGCCAGCUCUGCGAGGUGGUUGUGAAACGACGUGUCCGCGUAGAGCGGGAAAGAAGGCGACGUCAAGCUCGUGUACUUGAGAUCGCCGUCGACGUAGAACUCAAUCGCGCCCGCGUCGUUCACGAUCACUUGGAAAGUCUCACCCGCGACGAAGACGCCGGCAUCGAACUUGUUCACGCCCUUCUCUUGGAAUCGGACCUGAUUGCCGUUGCAGAACACGGCGUAGUCGAUGGUCGUUUGGCUGUGGCCCGAGGGCGUGCUCGACAAGCCAAACUGCAAGUGCCUGUUGUCGGUGCGCAUGCAGUCGCCGGAAAUGCCGCGAAUCUCGUCGCCGACUUUCGUGAUGGCGCGCGCGCUGUACGCGCCUCUUGCCCAGUUGUUCCCGCCUUGAGUACGUUUGAGGUAGCCCUGUUUGCCGUCCGUCGUCAUGCCCUGCGAAAGUCCGACCCACUCGAUGAGAUCCAAGUCGUUCGCACCCUCGUGGACAGUCUGUAUCCAGGAGACUCGAGAGAAAGACGCGCCUGCAGUGUUGAAGCGCGCGGUGGCGUAGAGCGGGAAGGCAGGCGCCUCAUCAGACGUCGCAAACGCCGCGCCAUCCUUGUAGUACGUGACGACGCCCGAGUCGAGCACGACCACUUGGAACGUCUCACCGACGAAGUAAUCGCCAAAGUCGCCGUCGCGCACGACGCCGUGUUCGGAGAUGCGGAUCACGCCGUUGUCGCACACAAUGCCGAAGUCGACCACCUCGUCGACGGAGUUCGUCGAGCCAGAGUUCAAGCCAAUCAUCAUGGACUUGUCCGUUUGGUCGCAAUCCGCGGAGACGCCACGCACUUCGUCGCCGAUCUUCGUGAUGGCACGUUUGCUCGUGGCGCCGACGUUCCAGCCACUGCCUGCCAUUGUGCGCGUCACUUGGCCCGCGGAAGACUCGACGCCUUCCGCGUCUUCAAACUCCAUGGCCGCCAAGUCGUUCGCGCCCUUGACAACCUUGUGAACCCAGCGCGCGUUGGCCAGCUCUGCGAGGUGGUUGUGAAACGACGUGUCCGCGUAGAGCGGGAAAGAAGGCGACGUCAAGCUCGUGUACUUGAGAUCGCCGUCGACGUAGAACUCAAUCGCGCCCGCGUCGUUCACGAUCACUUGGAAAGUCUCACCCGCGACGAAGACGCCGGCAUCGAACUUGUUCACGCCCUUCUCUUGGAAUCGGACCUGAUUGCCGUUGCAGAACACGGCGUAGUCGAUGGUCGUUUGGCUGUGGCCCGAGGGCGUGCUCGACAAGCCAAACUGCAAGUGCCUGUUGUCGGUGCGCAUGCAGUCGCCGGAAAUGCCGCGAACCUCGUCGCCGACUUUCGUGAUGGCGCGCGCGCUGUACGCACCUCUUGCCCAGUUGUUCCCGCCUUGAGUACGUUUGAGGUAGCCCUGUUUGCCGUCCGUCGUCAUGCCCUGCGAAAGUCCGACCCACUCGAUGAGAUCGAGAUCCCGUGAACCUUUAUGAACAACUUUUAUCCACUUCACAUUUUCGAGGUGUCCUCCACCUUCAUCAACGUAUCCAUCGGCAAACAAUGGGAAGAUCGGUUCUCUGCUACUAUUGUAGACAGAAUGUCCUUCUUUAUAAUAGUGAACGAUACCCUCGUCAUUAAAUGCGACCUGGAACGUUUCUCCCGCGAGGUAUGUUCCGAUCGUGGCCAUAAGCUCACCGUCUUCGUAAACUUCCAUUGUUCCGGCAUUGCAACCAACGGCAUACUCAAUAGCAUCGCCAUCCGAGGGUGUGUAAUGAGCGCUGCUCAAACCGAAUAUCAUUUUCGUUGUUGUGUCACUGCAAUCCGCAGAAAUACCGCGAACUUCGUCAUAAAUUUUAGUUACGGCGCGUUUACUUGUCGAGCGCACAAUGUCCAUUUUUUCAGGUGUAACCGGCAAGUACACGUCGCCGUGUGACACUUCACAUCGCUGGACUGUUUCAAAGUCCAUCAUGUUUAGCCAAUGCAUGUGGCUUAGCUUCGCACCUUCGGUGAAGAUUCGAGCCUGGGAGUAAAGAGGGAAUUCAACACUUUUAGUGCUGACAUGAAGAACAUUACCAUUUUGCAGAUACUCGAUGACACCAUGCUCGUUGAUGACGAUAGAAAAUGUCUCUCCAGGGCUGUACGCCGAAGGAGGCUCGACAAUGCGCUCGUGCCUUUGGAAGGCUGACGCAUUGUGUUGGUCAUUUAUGUAUUCGGGUGAAUCACUAUCCAAUGAAUCAAGUGCCAAGUCUGGCGAAGUACCAAGAUGUGUUGAAGGCGGUGGACCUUGAGCAUCGUUCUCCGGGGUCGGGACUUGAAGUUGGCCUUCAAUCCCAUGUGGUGUAUUCGGCUCGGGACGUCGAUGUGGCUCGAUUGUUUUGAUGACAACUCCAUCUUCAAGGAGACGCAACGUUCCGGCAUCACAGUAUAUCGCAAAGGACAGGUUCGUCUGCGCCGGAGCAGUAGCGGUUUCAUUCGCAGCGGUUUCAUUCAACUGAGCAUCUUGAUCACCUUGCACCAUGAGUCCAAACAUCAUCUGUGACUUGUUGUCGGAACAAUCGGCAGACACGCCUUUUUUGGUGUCAUUCCAACCGCGAAUUGAUGAACGACUCGUUGCGAAAGCAAGUAAUGAAGCUUCUUCGAUGCGUUUUGCCGCCUCUUCACUCAACACGUGAGCGAGAGAUCCAGGUGUAAGAGUCGCAUUCUCAGGUAGAAGGAACUCAACAGGCUCAAGGUCAUCGGCACCUUCAAUGAUUCGGUAAACCCAGCGCGCGUUGGCCAGCUCUGCGAGGUGGUUGUGAAACGACGUGUCGGCGUAGAGCGGGAAAGAAGGCGACGUCAAGCUCGUGUACUUGAGAUCGCCGUCGACGUAGAACUCAAUCGCGCCCGCGUCGUUCACGAUCACUUGGAAAGUCUCACCCGCGACGAAGACGCCGGCAUCGAACUUGUUCACGCCCUUCUCUUGGAAUCGGACCUGAUUGCCGUUGCAGAACACGGCGUAGUCGAUGGUCGUUUGGCUGUGGCCCGAGGGCGUGCUCGACAAGCCAAACUGCAAGUGCCUGUUGUCGGUGCGCAUGCAGUCGCCGGAAAUGCCGCGAAUCUCGUCGCCGACUUUCGUGAUGGCGCGCGCGCUGUACGCGCCUCUUGCCCAGUUGUUCCCGCCUUGAGUACGUUUGAGGUAGCCCUGUUUGCCGUCCGUCGUCAUGCCCUGCGAAAGUCCGACCCACUCGAUGAGAUCCAAGUCGUUCGCACCCUCGUGGACAGUCUGUAUCCAGGAG
rnacentral:lncRNA from 1 species